UUCGGAUGUCGUACCAUCGGAUUUCGGAUGCAUGAGACUCUGGCUUAAACUGGAACCUGACUGGAACCAACUGGAAUAAACAAUUUUCACCAUAACCAUAAUUUUAACGGUUUCUUAAUUACUUACAUUUGCAUUUUUUUUAAAUUUUUAUAAAUCAACAAACCUAAAGGUUUUCUAAUAAGAUGGCUAUACAUAUUUAUAGUGGCAAAAAUCAUAUACUACAUAAGCUCCAAAACAGCCGUGUACAAAGUAUUCCCUUCAAAAUUCUUGCAGACUGUGAUACUCCUGUAUCUAAAUAUUUUGAGCCUUACAUAAAGAGUGAAAAUGAAAUUUUAAAAGGUUCCUUUAGAGGUUACCCUUUAAAAGGUAAAAAAAUUGAUAUUCCGGAAGGAUAUGUUGGCUUAGUAGUGCAUGAAAGUAUUAGGCCAACAAAUGAGAAAGAUGAUAGAAAAUUCUAUGUGAUAAACAAAUUUAACGAAUUUACUUAUUGGAAUUGGGACAAGAUUCCAAGCAAAAACGAUAAUUUUCUAAAAGCCAUGGAUUGGAUAGAUAUUGCUGAAGUGCCUUCCAAGAAUCCAAGCAUUUUUCACAAAUACCAUAAACUAAAUAGGACUGAUUAAUUAGUCUAAUUUGUGCCUAAAUGCCUAAAAACCAUAGGUUUCAUGGCAUCAAUUUCUGUCUCUGCAGUAGGGUUGCCAGUUUUAUAGCAAAGUCCCGGGAACGCAAAAAAAGUAAGAGCAAAAAAAACUGUGAUGCUUUACCCAAAUCAAAUCAAAUUAGAUACUUAAACUAAGGUAUUUAUAUAUAAUUACCAAAAUAACAUAAAUUAACGACGAUAGAUAUAAAUGAAGCUAAAUAAAAAAAAAAUGUGAUAGAAUAAUAAAAAGCGUAAGUGUGUAUUUCUUUACUUUGUCAACAUUAUAACAUUUGAUUGGCUCUGUCUGGGAUAGUAAAAUGAUUUUCCAGGAUCUGGAACAAUUUGCCUAAAUCAGGGAUUUUUCUGAAAGCCUGGCAACCCUACUCUGCAGUCCUACUAAGGAAGAGUGAAAUUGGAAUCAUACUUGACGAGUACAUUGACUUAUUUACACAGUCCAAUUACUGAAGAAUGAAGGAAUGUAAAUCAAUAUAAACCCAAGAAUGUGCCUUAUUACAUCCUUCUGUUAUGCUAAAAUUAAACAAACAUUUGUUAAAAAAUUAAAAUAUAUUAAAUAAACUUUUA